AAGAGUCGAGUAGUUUGGGAAUGCUGCUCAAAAUGGGAGGUAUAUGUCUUCUAAAGCUAAAUAUUGGCCAGAGACCGAUAGCGCACAAGUAGAGUGAUCGAAAGAUGAAAAGCACUUUGAAAAGAGGGUUAAAAAGUACGUGAAAUUGUUGAAAGGGAAGCGCCCAUGACCAGACUUGGGCCCGGUGAAUCACCCGGCGUUCCCGCCGGUGCACUAUGCCGGCCACAGCCCAGCAUCAGUAUGGCGCGGGGGACUUAGGCUUCGGGAACGUGGCUCCCUCGGGAGUGUUAUAGCCCGCUGCGUAAUACCCUGCGCCGGACUGAGGUACGCGCAUCGCAAGGAUGCUGGCGUAAUGGUCAUCAGCGACCCGUCUUGAAACACGGACCAAGGAGUCGUCUUCGUAUGCGAGUGUUCGGGUGUCAAACCCCUACGCGGAAUGAAAGUGAACGCAGGUGAGAGCUUCGGCGCAUCAUCGACCGAUCCUGAUGUUCUCGGAUGGAUUUGAGUAAGAGCAUACGGGGGCCGGACCCGAAAGAAGGUGAACUAUGCCUGUAUAGGGUGAAGCCAGAGGAAACUCUGGUGGAAGCUCGCAGCGGUUCUGACGUGCGAAUCGAUCGUCAAAUAUGGGCAUGGGGGGCGAAAGACUAAUCGAAACCUUUCUAGUAGGCUGGUUUCCCGCCGAAA
rnacentral:rRNA from 1 species